rnacentral:rRNA from 1 species
UACGUAGGGUGCAAGCGUUAAUCGGAAUGACUGGGCGUAAAGCGUGCGCAGGCGGUUUUGUAAGUCUGACGUGAAAUCCCCGGGCUCAACCUGGGAAUUGCGUUGGAGACUGCAAGGCUAGAAUCUGGCAGAGGGGGGUAGAAUUCCACGUGUAGCAGUGAAAUGCGUAGAGAUGUGGAGGAACACCGAUGGCGAAGGCAGCCCCCUGGGUCAAGAUUGACGCUCAUGCACGAAAGCGUGGGGAGCAAACAGG